CGUGUAGGCGGCCUAAUAAGUUAGAAGUGAAACCUAUCGGCUCAACUGAUAGCCUGCUUCUAAAACUGCUAAGCUUGAGUGCAGAAGAGGGGAGUGGAAUUCCCAGUGUAGCGGUGAAAUGCGUAGAUAUUGGGAGGAACACCAGUGGCGAAAGCGGCUCCCUGGUCUGUAACUGACGCUGAGGCGCGAAAGCGUGGGUAGCAAACAG
rnacentral:rRNA from 1 species